GCCCGGCUGGCUCAGUCGCUGGAGCAUGCGGCUCCUGAUCUUGGGGUCGUGAGUUCGAGCCCCACGUUGGGCG
rnacentral:tRNA from 1 species